CUGAAGGAUUAUAUCGAAGAGUCAAAUGAUAGCGUAACGUCUUGAAGGGCUCUCUCUUAGUCGAAUAGCACUUGAAUUAGCAAGGAUAAGAGUGUUAUAAGCUCGAUGAAAAGGCGUGAGAAUUCACCGUAACAGGAUCGGCUGACGAAAACCUACCUGCGGGGGUGGUGUGAAUCAUAAUGCUUGGGUUGAAAGA
rnacentral:ncRNA from 1 species